rnacentral:rRNA from 1 species
AUUGAACGCUGGCGGCAGGCCUAACACAUGCAAGUCGAGCGGAAGAAGGGAGCUUGCUCCUGGAUUCAGCGGCGGACGGGUGAGUAAUGCCUAGGAAUCUGCCUGGCAGUGGGGGAUAACGUCCGGAAACGGGCGCUAAUACCGCAUACGACCUGAGGGUGAAAGUGGGGGAUCUUCGGACCUCACGGUAUCAGAUGAGCCUAGGUCGGAUUGGCUAGUUGGUGGGGUAAAGGCCUACCAAGGCGACGAUCCGUAACUGGUCUGAGAGGAUGAUCAGUCACACUGGAACUGAGACACGGACCAGAGUACUACGGGAGGCAGCAGUGGGGAAUAUUGGACAAUGGGCGAAAGCCUGAUCCAGCCAUGCCGCGUGUGUGAAGAAGGUCUUCGGAUUGUAAAGCACUUUAAGUUGGGAGGAAGCGCAGUAAGUUAAUACCUUGCUGUUUUGACGUUACCAACAGAAUAAGCACCGGCUAACUUCGUG